rnacentral:rRNA from 1 species
ACGGACGAGGCCCCUUCGGGGACCGAGUUAGUGGCGAACGGGUGAGUAACGCGUGAGGAACCUGCCUUUCAGUGGGGGACAACAGUUGGAAACGACUGCUAAUACCGCAUGAAGCAUUUAGGGGGCAUCCCCUGAAUGCCAAAGAUUUAUUGCUGAAAGAUGGCCUCGCGUCUGAUUAGCUAGUUGGAGGGGUAACGGCCCACCAAGGCGACGAUCAGUAGCCGGUCUGAGAGGAUGAACGGCCACAUUGGGACUGAGAUACGGCCCAGACUCCUACGGGAGGCAGCAGUGGGGAAUAUUGGGCAAUGGGGGAAACCCUGACCCAGCAACGCCGCGUGAAGGAAGAAGGCUUUCGGGUUGUAAACUUCUUUUACCAGGGACGAAGAAAGUGACGGUACCUGGAGAAAAAGCCACGGCUAACUACGUGCCAGCAGCCGCGGUAAUACGUAGGUGGCAAGCGUUGUCCGGAUUUACUGGGUGUAAAGGGCGUGUAGGCGGAGAUUCAAGUCAGGAGUGAAAACUAUGGGCUUAACCCAUAAACUGCUUUUGAAACUGAAUCCCUUGAGUAUCGGAGAGGCAGG